rnacentral:lncRNA from 1 species
CCGAUUUACAAACAUUGAUUAAACAUUCAUUUCUUUUGAAUUUUCUUCAUGAAAUAUUUAAUCUUUAUUGACGAAAAUCCUGUCUACCGUAAAACCCCAUCUACAUGCCCAUUGGUACCCUUUUAAUACAUUUUAAUAUUUAUGUUAUACUUUACAUCACAGUCCAAAAAAAUAUUGAAACUUUAAUGCAUGCUAAUUAGUGCAGUGGCCACCAUUAGCUCUCAAAUACUUCUUCAAUUUCCAAGCGCUUGAUUUCCAUUUCACAACAGUUAGUUCGUCAGCCAUGAAUACAUAAUCAUCUGGAUUUUGACCAGGCACUGCCCUUCCCAUGAAGAAAUAAUUUCGGUUUGGUUUCAGCUCCGAGAAACCCAUUU